rnacentral:rRNA from 1 species
UGGGGAAUAUUGGACAAUGGGCGAAAGCCUGAUCCAGCCAUGCCGCGUGUGUGAAGAAGGCCUUAGGGUUGUAAAGCACUUUCAGUGGGGAGAAAGGUGAUUCACCUAAUACGUGAGUCAAUUGAUGUUACCCACAGAAGAAGCACCGGCUAACUCCGUGCCAGCAGCCGCGGUAAUACGGAGGGUGCAAGCGUUAAUCGGAAUUACUGGGCGUAAAGCGCACGUAGGUGGUUUGUUAAGCCAGCUGUGAAAUCCCCGGGCUCAACCUGGGCACUGCAGUUGGAACUGGCAAGCUAGAGUAGGGUAGAGGGGUGUGGAAUUCCAGGUGUAGCGGUGAAAUGCGUAGAUAUCUGGAGGAACAUCAGUGGCGAAGGCGACACCCUGGACUCAUACUGACACUGAGGUGCGAAAGCGUGGGGGAGCAAACAGGAUUAGAUACCC